rnacentral:rRNA from 1 species
UUCGAUUCUGGCUCAGAUUGAACGUGGCAGGAUGCUUUACACAUGCAAGUCGAACGGCAGCACGGACUUCGGUCUGGUGGCGAGUGGCGAACGGGUGAUGUGUAUCGGAACGUGCCCUAGUGGCGGGGGAUAACUGCGCGAGGCGUAGCUAUUACGCCACGCCCUUCGGGGGGAAAGCAGGGGACCUUCGAGACUCAUACUAUCAGAAGGCGACCGAUAUCGGAUUAAGCUGUUGGUGAAGGUAACGGCUCGCAAGGCGUGAUCAACCUGGCUGGUUUGAAGGUUGACCAAACCCGCAGGGACUGAGACCUGGCCCAGACUCCUGGGAGGCAGCAUUGAGGAAUUUGGACAGUAAACCUGAUCAAGCCAUCCCGCGUGCGAUGAAGGCCUUCGGGUUGUAAAGCACUUUUGGCAGGAAAAGCGGCAGGAUACAACUACCGUGCUGGCAAUAAUGCCACGAAUAGCGCAAACAACUACGUGCCAGCAGCCGCGGUAAUACCGCAUCGGGUGCAAGCGUCGUCGGAAUUACUGGGCGCUAAAGCGUGCGCGAAUGGUUCGGAAAGAAAGAUGUGAAAUCAGCGACUUAACACCCAAAUUCAUUUUAUACCGAGCUAGAGUGUGUCAGAGGAGGUGGAAUUCCGCGUGCGGUAGAAAUGCACGUAGAUAUGCGGAGGAACACCGAUAGGCGAAAAACAACCUCCUGGGAUAACGCUGACGCUCAUGUGCAAGCGUGGGGAGCAAACAGGAUUAGAUACUACCAGUGAUCCCGCCUAAACAGUAAUAACUCAACUGGGCCUUCAGCGGCCCUUAGUAGCGCAGCUAACGCGUGAAGUUGGCCAUAAGGGGAGUACGGUCGCAAGAUUAAAACUCAAAGGAAUUGACGGGGAUUACCACAAGCGGUGGAUGAUGUGGAUUAAUUCGAUGCAACAAAAGAGCCUUCCACUACCCUUGACAUGUCUGGAAUCGAAGAGAUUUAGAGUCUCCUGAGAACCAAUUACGGAACGAUAAACGAGAUGUUGGGUUAAGUCCCGCGAGCGCAACCCACUUGUCCAUUAGUUGCUGCGAAGGGCACUCUAAUGAGACUACCGGUGGUGACAAACAAGGAGGAAGGUGAGGAUGACGUCAAGUCCUCGUAAGCCCCUUAUGGGUAGAACUACGUCAUACAAUGGUCGGGACAGAGGAGGUCGUAAACCCGCGAGGGGAGCCCAAUCCCAGAAACCCGAUCAUAGUCGGAUCAAAGUCGCAACUCGACUGCGUGGAGUGAAUCGCUUCCAGUAAUCGCGGAUCAGCAUCAUGCUGAAGUGAAUACGUUCCGGUCUUGUACACCGCCCGUCCACCAUGGUGGGUUUUACCAGAAGUAGUUAAGCCUAACCAUGUAAGGAGGCGAUUACCACGGUAGGAUUCAUGACUGGGGUAGAAGUCCGUGCUCAAAAUUAG